GACAGAGGAGCCAAGCGUUGUCCGGAUUGACUGGGCGUAAAGCGCACGCAGGCGGUCGCGCGCGUGGGGUGGGAAAACUGGCGGCUUAACUGCCAGAGGCCAUCCCAUACGGCGCAACUCGAGCCAUGCAGAGGUCCACGGAAUUGCCGGUGUAGUGGUGAAAUGCGUAGAGAUGUGGAGGAACACCGAUGGCGAAGGCAGCCCCCUGGGCUAACACUGACGCUCAUGCACGAAAGCGUGGGGAGCAAACAGU
rnacentral:rRNA from 1 species